rfam:Blattabacterium sp. (Cryptocercus punctulatus) str. Cpu, complete genome.
CGGGGUAUAGCGUAGUUUGGUUAUCGCGCCUGGUUUGGGACCAGGAGAUCGUAGGUUCAAAUCCUGCUACCCCGA